rnacentral:rRNA from 1 species
UGGGGAAAUAUUGGACAAUGGGGGCAACCCUGAUCCAGCAAUGCCGCGUGUGUGAAGAAGGCCUGCGGGUUGUAAAGCUCUUUUGUCAGGGAAGAAACGGUGUUUCCUAAUACGGAAUGCUAAUGACGGUACCUGAAGAAUAAGCACCGGCUAACUACGUGC